rnacentral:tRNA from 2 species
GGGUCGGUGGGCGAGCGGUCAAAACCACCAGACUGUAAAUCUGGCGCCGUAAUGGCUACGGAGGUUCGAAUCCUCCCCGGCCCA